CUUUCCGACUCCAAGGAACCCGAUGCCCAGGCAGGAUAUGAAAAAGCUUUUACAUCUGUUCUUGCAUCCAUGGGCGGAUCCAAUUAUAUCCACCACGCGG
rfam:Desulfobacteraceae bacterium 4572_89 ex4572_89_scaffold_374, whole genome shotgun sequence.